AACGAACGCUGGCGGCAGGCUUAACACAUGCAAGUCGAACGCACCGCAAGGUGAGUGGCAGACGGGUGAGUAACGCGUGGGAACGUGCCCUUCAGUUCGGAAUAACCCAGGGAAACUUGGGCUAAUACCGGAUACGUGCGAGAGCAGAAAGAUUUAUCGCUGAAGGAUCGGCCCGCGUCUGAUUAGCUAGUUGGUGGGGUAAUGGCCCACCAAGGCGACGAUCAGUAGCNGGUCUGAGAGGAUGAUCAGCCACAUUGGGACUGAGACACGGCCCAAACUCCUACGGGAGGCAGCAGUGGGGAAUAUUGGACAAUGGGCGCAAGCCUGAUCCAGCCAUGCCGCGUGAGUGAUGAAGGCCUUAGGGUUGU
rnacentral:rRNA from 1 species